rnacentral:misc_RNA from 1 species
UCCGGUUUGACACCGGCAGUCUCCCUAGAGUGCCCGGCAUAACCCGCUGGUAACUAGGGACGAGGGUUGCGCUCGUUGCGGGACUUAACCCAACAUCUCACGACACGAGCUGACGACAGCCAUGCAGCACCUGUGCACGGACUCCGAAGAGGGGCCGAUGUUUCCACCGGCUUUCCCGUGCAUGUCAAGCCCAGGUAAGGUGGGGAUGACGUGUCGUUACCUUA